UACGUAGGGGGCAAGCGUUGUCCGGAUUUAUUGGGCGUAAAGAGCGUGUAGGCGGCCAGAUAGGUCGGUUGUGAAAACUGGAGGCUCAACCUCCAGACGUCGACCGAAACCAUCUGGCUAGAGUCCGGAAGAGGAGAGUGGAAUUCCUGGUGUAGCGGUGAAAUGCGCAGAUAUCAGGAAGAACACCCGUGGCGAAGGCGGCUCUCUGGGACGGUACUGACGCUGAGACGCGAAAGCGUGGGGAGCGAACAGG
rnacentral:rRNA from 1 species